rnacentral:lncRNA from 1 species
AAAACAGGGCUCACUGGAUCCCCUUCAUCACUGUGGGACCUGCUGCGAGAAAUGUUUGUUGUGUGCUCUAAAGAACAACUACAAUCGGGUGGGAAAUAUUCACACCAGGUCUGGGCACCCUUUUCACCCUUGGCUUCUGGAGCUGCCUUCUGAUUUAUCUGUACCUCAACCCCGGUGACAUCGAAUAUGUGUUUCCAACCUAGCGCAGCUGCAGAACCUACCAGCAGUUCCGAUUCAUCACCUCCAAGCUCCUUAAGAUGCACAGUCAGGGCUUCUUGUCCUGUUAAAUACCACCCCAACCCCAGGCCUCCACUGGAGAUUAAAAACCUUCAUUCAAAGCCAAA